rnacentral:rRNA from 1 species
UGGGGAAUUUUGGACAAUGGGGGAAACCCUGACCCAGCCAUCCCGCGUGUGCGAUGAAGGCCUUCGGGUUGUAAAGCACUUUUGGCAGGAAAGAAACGUCAUGGGUUAAUACCCCGUGAAACUGACGGUACCUGCAGAAUAAGCACCGGCUAACUACGUGCCAGCAGCCGCGGUAAUACGUAGGGUGCAAGCGUUAAUCGGAAUUACUGGGCGUAAAGCGUGCGCAGGCGGUUCGGAAAGAAAGAUGUGAAAUCCCAGAGCUCAACUUUGGAACUGCAUUUUUAACUACCGGGCUAGAGUGUGUCAGAGGGAGGUGGAAUUCCGCGUGUAGCAGUGAAAUGCGUAGAUAUGCGGAGGAACACCGAUGGCGAAGGCAGCCUCCUGGGAUAACACUGACGCUCAUGCACGAAAGCGUGGGGAGCAAACAGG